UGGGGAAUUUUGCGCAAUGGGGGAAACCCUGACGCAGCGACGCCGCGUGAGCGAAGAAGGUUUUCGGAUCGUAAAGCUCUGUCACAGGGGACGAUAGUGACGGUACCCUGGGAGGAAGCCCCGGCUAACUACGUGCCAGCAGCCGCGGUAACACGUAGGGGGCAAGCGUUGUCCGGAAUUACUGGGCGUAAAGAGCGCGUAGGUGGUUUAGUAAGUCAGGUGUGAAAGGCCAGGGCUCAACCCUGGGACUGCACUUGAAACUGCUUGACUUGAGGGCAGGAGAGGUAAGUGGAAUUCCCAGUGUAGCGGUGAAAUGCGUAGAUAUUGGGAGGAACACCAGUGGCGAAAGCGACUUACUGGCCUGGCCCUGACACUGAGGCGCGAAAGCGUGGGGAGCGAACAGG
rnacentral:rRNA from 1 species